AGUUACUAAUUGUUUUCCUAUGUAGAGAAGUAUGAAGAUGGGGCUUCAAAAUUUCAGCAGUACUGUCAUUAUCUUGGAUCAUAUGAUGUUGGUUGCUGUUAUUCUGCAUACCCUAUUAUGGUGCCCGAGGGACGCAACUAUGGUGGCUCUUUGGAUUGUGAAUGUCAAAGCCCGCAAUAUCGAUAGGCUUGGACAGAUUAUUCCGAAAGAGACAACGAUUGCUAUGGGCUGUACAUUCAAAAGGAAAUAUUUCUGUUCAAGGGGGUGAGGCCACCUUCAGUUCGUGCUUUGAGGACAUCUACCACAAAUACAUCUUCUAGAUCAGUGGACCUUUAAUGUCCCAUUUGGACACUGCCGAUGUCUCGCACCGUCGCGCGCGGCGUCGGAGACAAGGAUGAGGUCGAGCAGUCCGUGCUUACGUGUUCUUUUCUUGGCGUGUGGAGCCGAGGAUAUGGACGAGGAGGCGAAGCAAUCUGUGGCAUCUUCAUCGGCGUCGGAGACACGGACGAGGUCGAGCAGUCCGUGCUUUCGUGCUCUUUCCUUGGCGUGUGGAGCCGAGGAUACGGACGAGGAGGCCAAGCAAUCUGUGGCAUCUUGAUCGGCGUCCUCUCGAUGCACAACUCUGGAGAGAUGGACAAGGAGGCUGAGAGGAAGUGCGGCUAUAUCUGUAGUGCUCUGUUUGAUGGGGAACUAUAUUUGUAUGCCAGUAUACGCUGUAGUGGUUUGUAUUGAUAAUUCCAUGUUAAAUUUCUACUCAAUAGCAAAUGAAUAAAUUGUCGUCGCACUAAGCUGAUUUCACGUA